rnacentral:tRNA from 1 species
GCCCGGAUGGCUCAGUUAAGCGUCUGACUUCAGCUCAGAUCAUGAUCUCACAGUUCAUGGGUUCGAGCCCUGUGUUGGGCU